GCGGAGUUCUCGCGGGAUGUUCUGCUCAGGCUCCAGAUCUCACGGGACCAGACGGAGGGACUGCGUAGAAGGCCCGCUGUCUCCAUCUUGGAGUGUCCAGUGCAGAGCUUUUGCGUUCGGCACGGAGCUGAAGUGUUUCGCACAGCUGUUUUGUACGAGGAACUCUGGUCUGACGGGCUGGGUUCCUGGCCUCUGCACACAGCACCCUAUGAGCCAAUGAAACUAGACGGAGUACAAAGGAAAGGAAAAGGAAAACCUUCCUCUGACUGACAAAUCUAAGUUUUGAAUCUGAAGAUCUAAAGUUAGAGUUGAUGAGGACCAUUAAACCAGUGACACCCACGUGAAGUUGUAUUUUAGCUCCUUGUCUUUAUGAUGACAAAGAUUUUGGACCUAAAAAGAACUACUUCAGGUAUCUGUCAUCUAUCAAGCUAGUUUGUGGAGCAAUCUGAAGUUGGUGCCCCGUAUGAAGUGUUUAUUUCUGUGAAAGAAAGGAUUUCAUGAGGAUAGCAGCCUUUCUUAUUUAUGACGAUAUUUUGUUUAAACUGCAAAGGACCGCUAAGGACUAGGAAAAAAAACUGAGGAAUGGUCUCUCAGGGAUUAUGCUGUCUCAGUCCCAGGAACCCGUCGUGGAGACUGACUUCUCUCUGCUCUCCUCAGGCUGACUGCUAUAACACAAGUCCCUGCACUAUUGAGUUUGAAAAUCUGAGUAAUUGCGUUCCCAGCGUCCCUUAUCAUGUGAUGUACUUCUGGCUACUAAAAUAAAUCAUUCAUUGGACAAUUUUUUAAAAUGAAACAUCAUGAGACUAUCUGGGUUAGCUGACUUGUGGAAAACUAGAAAGUUUCGUCACUCGGCACCUACUCCAAGAACAUUCUGUAGUGGACGUGAUAUAUCUGAAGCUCAGAGAGAUGACCAUAUCAUCUAUGUAGAAAAGACCACAUAAUCUACAAAGCAAACAGAGAAACAAAAAAAGCUUCUGCAACUAAGCAAGUAGAACAAGACUAUAGGAUAUAAGGUCAUCAAUUGAAGAGAUCUGGCCCUCUGGGGAAGAAUCUGCAGUGCCACAACAAGUAUGUGUAUUUAUGUGUGUAUGUAUACAUAUCUAUAUUUCUCCCAAUUUUUACCAAAAAAGGUCAUACAGUUAUUUACCAGAGUAACCAAACAUUGAGGAAGGGGAAUACCUUGGUCUUUUGAGGAUUUAAGACCAAAAAUGCUACCAUGGCCCUUUUGGAGUACAGCCAUUUGGAGACCAGGUCACACAUAUUAUUGCAGCCCACAUUCUUUUACUUUGAAUACAGUGAUCCUCAGGCCCAUCUUGAAGUUAUUUCCCUGAACCCCUAUCCAUCAAUAUAUUAGUAUCUUUCAAGGGGCUCAAGCAGUCACAUGCUGGCAAGUUGAUUAUACUGUACUCCUUUUUUCUUAUAAGGGGGAUGAUUAACCACAAUUUUCAUUUACUAAGAUUAUCAAGCAUUCUGUAAGUUAAUUUGCCUUGGUUGUUCACAAGGCCUUUGCCAACCAUUCUCUGAGGACUUGAGGUCGUGGAAUCACACAUAACAGGGCUUCAAACCAACGGAAUCACUUUAUAGUGAAGGGAAAACAACAAAGGGAGCAUAAUCAUGGGAUCAGCUGUUUCUGCGCAUAUCCCCUGAGAGCUGCUGAGCUGCUGGAUUUGAGGUGGCCUUUUAAAGACUCAGAAAAAGCAUCAUCUUGAUGAGUAUACAAUGUGGAGAUAGGAUACCCUGGUAUGUAUGUUAAACCAACACCUAUUCACGUUGCAGCUGCUUUGUUUCCAGUAACUAGAAUGCAUGAGCCUGGCAAUGAAAAAGUGGAACUAGGAAUACCCCUUCUCUUCAUCAUUUCCAUUGAUCCACGUGGGGAAUUUGAGGUUUUCACUUGCACAGUUUUCGUUUGUGCAAUUAGAGAACCUGAUUCCCAGAGGCAGAAUACUUUGACCAGAGAACACAACAAGGACUGCAGUACCCCAAACACUGUACCGCCCGCCUCUUCACCGUGGGCUCCUCAUGCUAAUGGGUCAGAACCCAAAGACAGAUUUCCUAUCCGGGAAGAGUUAAUUGGACACUGUUUAUUUGAUAUGCUAAGGUUGCUGCUGCAUAAUCAUGGUAGUGAAAAUGUUGUCUGAAGUUCAAGGACUAUUAGGGGCACUUAAUUGUGAUUCCAUUCCUUGUGAUAACAGUGGACGGGCAAUUGAAGUAACCAUAGAGUUAUAAAAACAGUAUAAUCAGGAAGUCAGAUUCCUCAGGGAUUGAGGCCUAAAUCCCCUCACCAGGGAAAGUACCUAAGUCUGUGGAAUUCUGGCCACGGAAAGGGGGCUUUAAAAUAGUAAAGUAGGAAAAUGAUGGAUGCAAAAUAUGGUCUUGGAGCUAGCUAUAGUCAUAGGACAGGCUUGUUUUUUUUUUUUUUGGUCGUCUUUUUUAUCUAAUUGUUUAAAGGUUGCUGCUAGCUAUCACCUGGGAGCAUGAGUACCGAGGCUCUCCAUCAAGGACUCAAUGUGUAACACGUGUGAAGCAGACCUGCGAGGGGUCCUGUAGCAUGUACAAAUGAUGCUUCUGUAAACUAGCCUGCCGCAGUUUAUGGGAAACUAAUAGAGUUUUCCCCAGCACAUAAACAGAUCCCCUGUUUCCUCUUUUCCUGAGAACUUUCUUGAACUGCGAGUUUGUUCAUCAGCAAGUGGGUACUAACCCAGAGUGAGAGUUAGCUCCCCAGGAGAGUUAAGGAACCCUCCGCCCAUUUAUUGAUCUGCUCGUGAGUGGGCUGUUGUCUUCUUUCCUUUCCUUGUCUUGCACACUUCAUUGCCUCAUAGGUGCGUUCUGGGGUCACCUUCAAAAUACAUUUUCUGCACCUACCUCUGUAUCUCAGGGUCUUUUUCAGGGGGAACUCAGCCAAAGAGGUGGUUAACCGUAAUUAGCUAUGCAGUAGUGGGCGCCCAGGGCCCCUUUAAGAGUCGGUGCGGCCACUCCCCCAGCUGCUCUGUAAGUUGGUUGCUGACGACUCAUGGCUGUGCUGCCUGGAGCAUUGCCGCUCUUCUCCUCCAGCGGUCGGACGGGAGCGCCGUCGCCGUCGCCCUCGCCCUCGCCCUCGCCCUGGACUCAACAAAUGAGCUGGACUCAAGUCCAAUUUGGAGGAGGAGAGAUCAAGAUCGAAGACCAAGAGGAUGUGGAUCCCACCUCCCCCCAUGAACAUAUCAAAAAUAUAUCUACAUGUGGAACAAAUCUCACUGAAAUCUAACUGGAAACUGGCAGAAGGACUCUGUACAACCAAGGAUCUAAGGAAGAUAAACACAUAAUCAGGAUCUGAAGUGACAGAGAAGGGCUUGAUCAUUCAACUGCUGACGCAAGCGAAGUAGAAAUUAUUUGACGCACCUUAAUAGACUAGGAGGAAACAUUUGAGCAUACUGGUUCCAGGAUCUGACACGGAUACCAAAACCUGCAGAUGCUCAGGCUCCACAGUCAGCCUUUCUUCCACAUCCUCAGAUUCAAUCAACAGUGAAUUUUGUAUUACUGCAUUUAUUGAAAAACAUCCAUGUAAAUCUCUCAAACUCAAGAAGGAUAAAGAACACAAAAUGCAGUCUGUAUUUGCAACAGUAAUAGAAAAUUUAUGUAUUCUGAUACUACAUUAUGUGAGGUAAGUCUGUUAAAUGGAGGCAAAUUUAGAUAGUGGUUUAGAAGGAUGUCAACAGAAGGAAUCCAUGGCUGAAAAUGUCACACUACUCUGAUUGAGGCAAGUUCUCCAAAUUAAGUGAUGUAGUUUGAGAUUCAAAACCAAAAUUUCUUAUUUAGAACAGGGAAUAUAUAUUGUGGUUAUGGCAGAGUUUCCUCUUUCCAACCUCAUUUGCCAUAAAGAAGCAGCAGGAAGGUGACUAUGUAUAAGCAAUUCCAUAGAGAAGUCAUUUGCAAAAAGGAGGUUCUGAGGUGAGGUAGGCUGUUGGAGGGGAACCAUGUUGUACUGUAAGUAGCCCAUAAGCAGUUGUUUGGCAGAAAUAUAGAUUAAGAGACUGCACUCAAACAGAUGCUCUAAUUUUAUAAAGAAAAUCUUUGCUCUACUAUAUGAUUCUGGUCCUCCUGAAAAAAGCUGGUUCAGGAAGUAAUUAUACUACCUAAAUACAAGUAAAAUGCAAAAUACCAUGCAUAGGAUCUAUAAGACAUAAGAAGAAAAGAAAAGAAAAAAACAACCACCACCAAAUGGUUAUGCUCAUCAGAAAAAAAAAAAUUGCUACAAAGAAAUGUAAGCACUGUGACCAAAAAUUUUGGCAUUGUACUUUUAAAAAAAUAUGAUAUAUCAAUAUGUCAUUUUACUUUUGUGAAAUUAAAGUAUAAAACAGACAUACAAAAAUCUCAAGGACAAUAUGUCAAACUAGAGAAAUAAACUAUAUCCUGGUUGAUCUCUGAGAAGAAACAUAAGAGAAAAAUCUAGGUAUCUUAGAGGAAAAAGAAAAAUUACCUUGAGGUAGCACAAAGGAUGCAAUAUGGGACAUGAAAGAGGGAAGUGAAAAAAUUCACGAAGUAAAAAAUAAAUUUAAAAUGAGGUAAACAACAUAAAAUUCAAGAAAACUUUAAUGAAAAUUAUUGAAAUCAGCAACUGAAAGGACAUACUAGGUCUUAGAAAAAAAAAUCAAGACUGAUCCACUUAGAACUAUCUAAAUAAAACUAAGAAUCCAUGGCAAAAGUAACAGAACUUUGUAGAAGUAACUAUGUUCUGUAAUCAGUUGACUUUAGGUUAAUAAAAGAAAGUUCAUCUUUUUAGAGCCUGAUCAAAUCAGGUAAUCCUCUAAAAGAAGGCAUAGGGUAAGAAAGACUCUUUCCCGAAGCAAGCUUUAGCCAGCUGCAAGAAAAUGAAUCUUGCCAGCAGUGCGUUAAGUUAGAAGAGGAUGCCAAGUCCUUUGGUUAACAUUGAAACAAUUCUCUCCUAAUUGUGCAUGUUUACAAUAAUUCAGGAUUAUUAAACAAAGCUAUGAUGUGGUCAGAUUAAAUUAAACCAACAAAGAGAACUGUUUGGAUUUAAUUGAAUGAAAUGCUAAAAAUACUUUUCUAACAUUUAUCUUCUAGUAUAGUUUCCUGCACAUCAACUUAUAUUCCUCAUUUUUUAUUCCUUAUUUUUUAUCUUUUUUCCCCUUUUUCUGAAUUAUGAUCAGGCUAUUUAAUCUAUGAGUUUCAUUUAUAUAUAUAUAUAUUUUGUUUUACAAAUACGGAUUGAUCUAAUAUUUUGGGUCUUAUGUAGCCAUAUGAAAUGUUAACUAGUUACAAAAAAUGUCUUUCCAUAAGUCUGAAAUUCAUCAUUUAUAUUUUCACCAUCUCUAUCAUUUUAUAACAAUGCUUUAUACCAAAAAAAAAAAAACACUAAUGCAUGAAGAACUGAACUGAUAUACUGAAUAGAAAAAUGUUCUGAAUAUUUCUAGAUAUAUGCUCAAAUUCCAGAUGUUUCUGAAUGUGUAUGUAGAGAACACAUGAUGUCUUUGAUGUUCCCAAAAGUUUCAAACACAGUAAGUGCCUGAUGUGAGGAAAUGGGCACUCUUUGUUGACACAAUGCUGAUAUCAUGUAAAUGUCUUCAUACUGUAUCUCAUUAAGAUUUCAAAUGUUUCUAUAGUCUUGGUCAUUAUUUGUUAUCCUUCAGAGGAAAGUGGGUUUUAAAACUGCGUCUGAGCAGCUGUUCAAAGAAGUCACUUGAGUGGUGAGGGCUAUUACUGACAGUCUCAGCAUGAUGAUUGCAUUACUGUGUGCUGGAAUAUGAUUUUGAAAAAUGAGAAGUACUCUAUCUAGGAAGAGAGAAAUGACUUGCUGUUUGUUUCUGAAUAACCCAGUCUGCUACAUGUUGGCUGGAACAGACACAAAAAUCUUAUAAUGAGCAUUGAAACCUCAGUAAAAAGUCUCAUUAAAGCAAAUUGCAGGGUAUCUGAGGUUUGAUAUAUAUUUAUCAAACAACUGAUAGACCAAUGGUCUUUGAAAAAUGAAGAGAUGAGUUUCAAGGGUUUAAGACUCUCAUAUCCAUCCAGCUGUUAUCAAAGGUAUUUUAUUAUUAAUCAUACCUGUCUUGUUUAUUUAUAGAAUGAGUACAGUUCAGAUGCCACUUACUGUGUCUUUUCGUUGUGUCCCAGGAAUUGUGUGUUAAUUUUU